rnacentral:rRNA from 1 species
UGGGGAAUUUUGGACAAUGGGCGAAAGCCUGAUCCAGCAAUGCCGCGUGUGUGAAGAAGGCCUUCGGGUUGUAAAGCACUUUUGUCCGGAAAGAAAUCCUUGGCUCUAAUACAGUCGGGGGAUGACGGUACCGGAAGAAUAAGCACCGGCUAACUACGUGCCAGCAGCCGCGGUAAUACGUAGGGUGCAAGCGUUAAUCGGAAUUACUGGGCGUAAAGCGUGCGCAGGCGGUUUGCUAAGACCGAUGUGAAAUCCCCGGGCUCAACCUGGGGAACUGCAUUGGUGACUGGCAGGCUAGAGUAUGGCAGAGGGGGGUAGAAUUCCACGUGUAGCAGUGAAAUGCGUAGAGAUGUGGAGGAAUACCGAUGGCGAAGGCAGCCCCCUGGGGCCAAUACUGACGCUCAUGCACGAAAGCGU